rnacentral:rRNA from 1 species
UACGAAGGGUGCAAGCGUUACUCGGAAUUACUGGGCGUAAAGCGUGCGUAGGUGGUGAGUUAAGUCUGUCGUGAAAGCCCCGGGCUCAACCUGGGAAUGGCGAUGGAUACUGGCUCGCUAGAGUGCGGUAGAGGAGAGUGGAAUUCCCGGUGUAGCAGUGAAAUGCGUAGAGAUCGGGAGGAACAUCAGUUGCGAAGGCGGCUCUCUGGACCAGCACUGACACUCAGGCACGAAAGCGUGGGGAGCAAACAGG